rnacentral:rRNA from 1 species
UACGUAGGGUGCAAGCGUUAAUCGGAAUUACUGGGCGUAAAGCGUGCGCAGGCGGUUGUGCAAGACCGAUGUGAAAUCCCCGGGCUUAACCUGGGAAUGGCAUUGGUGACUGCACGGCUAGAGUGUGUCAGAGGGGGGUAGAAUUCCACGUGUAGCAGUGAAAUGCGUAGAGAUGUGGAGGAAUACCGAUGGCGAAGGCAGCCCCCUGGGCCAACACUGACGCUCAGGCACGAAAGCGUGGGGAGCAAACAGG